GGUUGGUCCGAGAGUAGUGGUGUUU
rnacentral:piRNA from 3 species